rnacentral:misc_RNA from 1 species
GCUCUAUAUAAACACCAUAACUACAUGCUUUCUCUAGCCAUCACAGAUUUGCUUUCAUAUCCAUUAAUCUAAUUUUAUCUAUUAUUCUUGUCUUCUUUGAUCAAUCCAAGCAUGGUGCACAAGGGUUUUCCUUCUCUUACAGUCACACUUCUGCUGCUCUUUCUGGGUUUCUCUUUUGUGCUCUCUUCUCUUGCAGUUCCUUCAACUAGAAGCCUCAAGUCAAGUGAAGGAAACCCAUCAUCAGUUCAAGAUUUUCUGACUCAGGAUGCUGUGGACUUGAAUAUUGGAGAAGAACAAGCUCUUGAUUUGGGAGAAGGUUAUAUUAAUGGAAGGGUGGAUUUGGAAAGCACAGACUAUCCAGGAACUGGAGCAAACAAUCACCAUGAUCCAAAAACCCCAGGAAAAGCUUAAAUCAUAAAAGGAAAAAUCCCAAGAAUUUAUCUAUGUGCAGAUCAGGCUUCAAAAAAGGAGGAAGAAGAAGUUGUGAGUUUGGGUUUGCUUUUGUGAAGGAUAUUUGCUUGCCACUGUUUAUCCAUUAUCUUAAUUAAUUAAGAGGGGGAUGUUUGUUUAUCUAUCUGUCUGUUUGAAGUAUAUUAAUUAAUUAAUUAUCUAAUUUUAAUUGAGAUUAGAGGAAGGGGUUCCAUUGGUACAAGGAAUGAAGGAAUUAAUGUUAUAAAAAAGUCGUGGGGUGGGGUGGGGUGCAAAAUUGUAAUUUGCAUGUAUCUAUAAAAU